AGAGUUUGAUCAUGGCUCAGAUUGAACGCUGGCGGCAGGCCUAACACAUGCAAGUCGAGCGGUAGCACAGAGAGCUUGCUCUCGGGUGACGAGCGGCGGACGGGUGAGUAAUGUCUGGGAAACUGCCUGAUGGAGGGGGAUAACUACUGGAAACGGUAGCUAAUACCGCAUAACGUCGCAAGACCAAAGUGGGGGACCUUCGGGCCUCAUGCCAUCAGAUGUGCCCAGAUGGGAUUAGCUAGUAGGUGGGGUAACGGCUCACCUAGGCGACGAUCCCUAGCUGGUCUGAGAGGAUGACCAGCCACACUGGAACUGAGACACGGUCCAGACUCCUACGGGAGGCAGCAGUGGGGAAUAUUGCACAAUGGGCGCAAGCCUGAUGCAGCCAUGCCGCGUGUAUGAAGAAGGCCUUCGGGUUGUAAAGCACUUUCAGCGGGGAGGAAGGCGGUAAGGUUAAUAACCUUGUCGAUUGACGUUACCCGCAGAAGAAGCACCGGCUAACUCCGUGCCAGCAGCCGCGGUAAUACGGAGGGUGCAAGCGUUAAUCGGAAUUACUGGGCGUAAAGCGCACGCAGGCGGUCUGUCAAGUCGGAUGUGAAAUCCCCGGGCUCAACCUGGGAACUGCAUUCGAAACUGGCAGGCUUGAGUCUCGUAGAGGGGGGUAGAAUUCCAGGUGUAGCGGUGAAAUGCGUAGAGAUCUGGAGGAAUACCGGUGGCGAAGGCGGCCCCCUGGACGAAGACUGACGCUCAGGUGCGAAAGCGUGGGGAGCAAACAGGAUUAGAUACCCUGGUAGUCCACGCCGUAAACGAUGUCGAUUUGGAGGUUGUGCCCUUGAGGCGUGGCUUCCGGAGCUAACGCGUUAAAUCGACCGCCUGGGGAGUACGGCCGCAAGGUUAAAACUCAAAUGAAUUGACGGGGGCCCGCACAAGCGGUGGAGCAUGUGGUUUAAUUCGAUGCAACGCGAAGAACCUUACCUGGUCUUGACAUCCACAGAACUUUCCAGAGAUGGAUUGGUGCCUUCGGGAACUGUGAGACAGGUGCUGCAUGGCUGUCGUCAGCUCGUGUUGUGAAAUGUUGGGUUAAGUCCCGCAACGAGCGCAACCCUUAUCCUUUGUUGCCAGCGGUCCGGCCGGGAACUCAAAGGAGACUGCCAGUGAUAAACUGGAGGAAGGUGGGGAUGACGUCAAGUCAUCAUGGCCCUUACGACCAGGGCUACACACGUGCUACAAUGGCAUAUACAAAGAGAAGCGACCUCGCGAGAGCAAGCGGACCUCAUAAAGUAUGUCGUAGUCCGGAUUGGAGUCUGCAACUCGACUCCAUGAAGUCGGAAUCGCUAGUAAUCGUAGAUCAGAAUGCUACGGUGAAUACGUUCCCGGGCCUUGUACACACCGCCCGUCACACCAUGGGAGUGGGUUGCAAAAGAAGUAGGUAGCUUAACCUUCGGGAGGGCGCUUACCACUUUGUGAUUCAUGACUGGGGUGAAGUCGUAACAAGGUAACCGUAGGGGAACCUGCGGUUG
rnacentral:rRNA from 1 species